rnacentral:rRNA from 1 species
AACGAACGCUGGCGGCAUGCCUAACACAUGCAAGUCGAACGAGACCUUCGUGUCUAGUUGCUCACGGGUGCGUAACGCGGGGGAACCUGCCCUUAGGUUCGGGAUAACACCCCGAAAGGGGUGCUAAUACCGGAUAAUGUCUUCGAACCAAAGAUUUAUCGCCUUUGGAUGGGCCCGCGUUGGAUUAACUAGUUGGUAGGGUAAAAGCCUACCAAGGCGACGAUCCAUAGCUGGUCUGAGAGGAUGAUCAGCCACACUGCGACUGAGACACGGCCCAGACUACUGCGGGAGGCAGCAGUGGGGAAUAUUGGAAAACGGGCGAAAGCCUGAUCCAGCAAUGCUGCGUGAGUGAUGAAGGCCUUAGGGUUGUAAAGCUCUUUUACCCGGGAUGAUAAUGACAGUACCGGGAGAAUAAGCACCGGCUAACUCCGUG